rnacentral:rRNA from 1 species
ACUCCUACGGGAGGCAGCAGUGGGGAAUAUUGGACAAUGGGGGAACCCUGAUCCAGCCAUGCCGCGUGUGUGAAGAAGGCCUUAUGGUUGUAAAGCACUUUAAGCGAGGAGGAGGCUACUAGUAUUAAUACUACUGGAUAGUGGACGUUACUCGCAGAAUAAGCACCGGCUAACUCUGUGCCAGCAGCCGCGGUAAUACAGAGGGUGCGAGCGUUAAUCGGAAUUACUGGGCGUAAAGCGCAUGCAGGUGGUUUGUUAAGUCAGAUGUGAAAGCCCGGGGCUCAACCUCGGAAUAGCAUUUGAAACUGGCAGACUAGAGUACUGUAGAGGGGGUAGAAUUUCAGGUGUAGCGGUGAAAUGCGUAGAGAUCUGAAGGAAUACCGGUGGCGAAGGCGGCCCCUGCACAGAUACUGACACUCAGAUGCGAAAGCGUGGGGAGCAAACAGGAUUAGAUACCCUGGUAGGCUCU